UUCCAGUUGGGUCACAUAUCCAUCUCUGAGUCUGUCACUGGGAGAAUGGGAUGCUUUUUUGGACUAGGCCUGUCUUCCAUACCCAUCUGGGACAACAGGACUUGCUCUGGGGACAACUUCAUCUGUAUAUGAAUGGAGACUGAAGAAUGGAGGCUGGAGUGCAGUGGUGCAAUCAUGGUUCGCUACAAUCCUGACCUCCCGGGCCCAAGCCAUCCUCCUGCCUCAGCCUCUCAAGUAGCUGGGACUACAGGGUCUUUCCAUGUUGUCCAGGCUGGUUUCAAGUUCCUGAGCUCAAGCUAUCCACCUGCCUCAGCCUCCCAAAGUGCUGAGAUUACAGGCAUGAGCCACUGUGCCGGUGACUUACCUCUAACCAACAGAAUAGAGCAACAGUGAGAGGAUGUCAAUUCUGUGGUAGGUUGCAAAAAAUUGUAAGUUCCUAGCAGUCUUUCUCAUUGGUUUUAAUAUAAAAAAGCUGCUGUGCUGGAGGGACCCAUGAGGCAAAGAACUGAGAGCAGCCUUUAGCUAACAGCCAGCAAGGAAUGAGGUGCUCAGUCCAGCAACCACAGAGAAACUGAAUCCUGCUGAUGAUCAUGAGGGUAAGCUUGGAAGCAGAUUCUGUCCCAGAUGAACUUUGAUUGUGUCUUGUUAGAGACUCCUUGAUUGCACCUGUGAGAGGCCCUGAAGCGGAGGACCCAGCUAAGGUACGUGCAGAGCAGUGAAAAAUUUGAAUGGCCUGAGAUACACGCUCCCUGCUGAGGUCGCACAAGGAACAAGGACAAAGUUAAAUUCUCCACAACUCAAACCAAAUUAGAAGCUCCCUGUUGGAUGACCAAGUUCUCUCUAAAAGUUUGUUGGUGACCACAGUUUAUUCCCUGAAACUGACUUGGCCACUAAUUCACUCUGUUCUCUUAGAUGGCAAGGAUAUUGCUAUUGGCGCAUAGGAUGUGAACAGUGGUGUUGAGAUCACCCUCAUUUGACUGAUGAUGCCAUUGAGACUCAGAGAUGAUUCAUGCAGAGCUCGACUACCUCCAUGAGAAAUGACUCUCCUGUAGGGCUCGAUGACUUUCAUGUCAAUGCGCUGCUCUUGUUCUCCAAUCACCACUGUCCUCCACAGCCGGUUGUCCUCCCGUUCCUCUUCGGCCGUAUAUUCUGGAAUAGACUCUGACUCUUGGCCAGAAUCUUUGUUGGCUGUGGGAUCUUCUGGAAACAAAGCAUAGAGCAGGGCUGAAGGAUCAAGACCUCCAUAGUGCAGGCAGCUAAACAGCCAGAUGGUAAGCUUUAAAAUACUUUUUUAAAUGAACACAGAGUACUUCUACGGAAUCAACCUGCAGAAUCAACCUGAUCAAAGUCCUUGUUUUGUACAGCCUUUACAGAGCUUAGCAAUAUCCUGACCAUAUAAAGUACACUCAAUAAAGUCUUUUUUCAUUAACUGAACAACCACCUCCAUUGCUAAGGUCAUGCUGAGGGUGAGACUAGGUGCAAAGCUUGAGCUGUCUUGCAUGGGUAGUGGUCCAAGGUGUGCACAAGCCAGGACCAACUCAUCCUUGAUCAGGGUAAAGAUUGCAGGUCUUUCUAAUGGGGUGAAAGGCUUUGUUACUAGACUCAGAAAAUUUUGCGGUUUUGGGGUCACAUCUCUUCAGUGCUUAAGAGUCUUUUGGGGUCCUCAACUUGGAAUCGUGAUGAUAUUACAAGCCAAGACUCCUACGCUAAGACUCUCACAACUGGGCUGAGCCCCCUAUUGGGAGCACAUCUGGACGUAAAUUUGAUAUUACUUUCUAUGUACUAUUUCAAAAUACGCCACACAAAGACUUUAUAGUAAGCGAGAAACAACUGUGUAGACCAGAAAUGCUCAAAGACCCCAACUGCACAAGACUCCCAAAUUGAUGGGUGCAUAAAACAAUAAAAAAGCCUACUGAGCAUUCU